rnacentral:sRNA from 1 species
CCGCCAUGAUCUGCGGACAGAUCAGGUGGACGUGGCAGUCGAUGCCACCGGCGGUGACGAUUCGGCCGUUGCCGGCGAUGAUUUCGGUCGACGGACCGACCACGAGAUCUGGGUGCACGCCGGACAUGAUGUCGGGGUUGCCGGCCUUGCCGAUCCCGACGAUCCUGCCGUCGCGAAUACCGAUGUCGGCCUUGAUGAUUCCCCAGUGGUCGAUGAUCACCACGCCAGUGAUCACGGUGUCGGGUGCGCCGUCGGCCCGGGUUGCCCGACCCUGCCCCAUCGACUCGCGCAA